GGGUUCGAUUCCGGAGAGGGAGCCUGAGAAACGGCUACCANNNNNNAGGAAGGCAGCAGGCGCGCAAAUUACCCAAUCCCGACACGGGGAGGUAGUGACAAUAAAUAACAAUACGGGGCUCUUUCGGGUCUCGUAAUUGGAAUGAGUACAAUUUAAAUCCCUUAACGAGGAACAAUUGGAGGGCAAGUCUGGUGCCAGCAGCCGCGGUAAUUCCAGCUCCAAUAGCGUAUAUUAAAGUUGUUGCAGUUAAAAAGCUCGUAGUUGAAUUUCGGGAUUGACACAUCGGUCGUGCCUUAAGGGGUAUGAACUGGUGUAGUCAAUUUCUCACCUUCUGGAGAACCGCGAUGCCCUUAAUUGGGUGUCGCAGGGAACCAGGACCUUUACUUUGAAAAAAUUAGAGUGUUUAAAGCAGGCAUUUUGCUUGAAUACAUUAGCAUGGAAUAAUAAAAUAGGACGGCAUGAUUCUAUUUUGUUGGUUUCUAGGAUCACCGUAAUGAUUAAUAGGGAUAGUUGGGGGCAUUAGUAUUCAAUUGUCAGAGGUGAAAUUCUUGGAUUUAUUGAAGACUAACUACUGCGAAAGCAUUUGCCAAGGAUGUUUUCAUUAAUCAAGAACGAAAGUUAGGGGAUCGAAGAUGAUCAGAUACCGUCGUAGUCUUAACCAUAAACUAUGCCGACUAGGAAUCAGACGAUGUUAAUUUUUUAAUGACUCGUUUGGCACCUUACGGGA
rnacentral:rRNA from 1 species